AGGUCCCUGCCCACCCAUGUGGGAGACCAGGUGGAGUUCUGGGCUACUGGCUCAGCUGUGGCUGUUGCAGGCAUUUGGGGACUGACCCCCCCAAAGAUGGAGGUUCUCUUGCUCUCUGCCUUUCAAAUAAAUAAAAAUAAAUCAGAAUGUUUUAAAACUAAUCCUGAGCAUACCGGAGUACCCACGUGGGCCCAAGGCAAUCAGACAGCCCUUAAAGCCAGAAAGGCAGAAGCAGCAGAUGGAAGAUGUGAUGGGGGGGUGGGGUGUCACUGCCUGGCCCAAUCGAGCAGGGAAAAGCGCAGGAGGAGGCACGCAGGGACCAGGGCCACAGCCACAGGCCAGGAAUGCAGCGCACCACCCUCGGAAGACAAAAAUCCAGGCUGAAGGCGGUGAGCCCUUGUCCAAGGUCAGACAAUUCUUCCCAAGUGACAGGGACCGAAUUCAAUGCCUCAGGGGAAGGGGACAGGUGGACGGGGUGGCUCCAGGCUCCCCCACCCCCACCCCGUGAGUCCCCUCGUCUCAACUUGGCUUUCAUCCUCCCCACUGCAUACCGGGCUGCAUCAAGGCGCUGACUCAGCUGGAAGGAGCACCCCUCUCAUCCCGCCCUUCCUCUCUGUUGCCAAAAACCUGGGUGCAACAGCUGGAGCUCUGGCAGACGUUUUGAGGGAUGAGGCGAGACUAGGUGUCUCAGUGAGUCUUGGACUGGCCACCAUCAGGCUUCUUUUACAGUGAUGACGACGAUGAUGAUAAACCUUUGUAAGCUUCAGUUACUUCUGUCUGAAGCUUUUAGUUAGGUGCAGGUGAAAUGAACCCUGGGAUACUGGGCCAUGAGCAACCACAACUUGACAUCUUUUCAGAAGCCUCAGAGUAAGGAGCCUGCUCUUCUUCCUCCAUAACAGGUUGUCCAGGGCAGGGCCCUGGGCAGCACCGCCAGGGUCACACACGACUAGAAGAAUCACCAGGGCUCCGCCCAGGGCCACUCUGGUGUUGCUAUGUGUUACUUGUUGGCUUACUUGAAGGAGCAGCAGCCAGCGUGGACUCACCUGCGGGGGUGGGGGAAUUUGGGGACAGAGGGAGCCGCUAGCCGGACACACAGGAAGUGAGGGUGCCCGCUGAGGCCGGCGCAUGGCAAAGCCCAGUUUGCUGGGUACCUCACCCCACUCGGCAGUGUGUCAGUCCCCGGCCACCCCUGCUCCCCCCACCCCGGGGACCCACGUCCCCAGUCCCCCUCUCCCCUCGCAGCACCAGCUGGGGACUGGAGAGGCCACAGCAGCGCCUCUGGUCCCCAGGUCCCCGAUCCCCAGGUCCAGCUGCCGGACACAGGGCGGUCUCUGGACUGUGCCUCU
rnacentral:lncRNA from 1 species